GUUUACAGCCUAACAUGCUAGUUUCCUCUAGGAGAUCCAUUAUGUACUUCCUUUCAAAAAUGAAGAUUCCUUUGUCUGAUCUAACCACCUUUAUUCCAAUGAAAUACUUUAAUUUACCCAAGUCUUCAGUCUCAAAUACAUGGCCAAGAGCUCUCUUAAAGUGGCAAUCUCUUCCUCGUCACGCCUGUCACAACUAUAUCAUCAACA
rnacentral:misc_RNA from 1 species